rnacentral:rRNA from 1 species
CAGUAGCCGCGGUAAUGCGAAGGGGGCUAGCGUUGCUCGGAAUGACUGGGCGUAAAGGGCGCGUAGGCGGUUUUGACAGUCAGAUGUGAAAUUCCUGGGCUUAACCUGGGGGCUGCAUUUGAGACGUCAAGACUAGAGUGUGAGAGAGGGUUGUGGAAUUCCCAGUGUAGAGGUGAAAUUCGUAGAUAUUGGGAAGAACACCGGUGGCGAAGGCGGCAACCUGGCUCAUUACUGACGCUGAGGCGCGAAAGCGUGGGGAGCAAACAGGAUUAGAUACCCCCGUAGUCCCUGUCUCUUAUAC